CUUAAACCGAAGAUAGACACAAAAAGCUGGAGUAACUCAGCGGGUGCUGCAGCAUCUCUGGAGAGAAGGAAUGGGUGACGUUUCGGGUCGAGACCCUUCUUCAAUCUGGUUAGGGAUCAGGGAAACGAGAAAUUUAGAUGAUGAUGUAGAGAGAUAAAGAACAAUGAAUGAAAGAUAUGCAAAAAA